rnacentral:lncRNA from 1 species
CUGGAACUCAUUAUGUAGAACAAGCUGGCUUUGAUCUCACGGAAAUCCACCUCCUUCUGCUUUACUCGUGCUGGGAUUAAAGGCGCUUUUCGACCAACAGCCAAGCCUCCUUUCGGGCAAGCCUUGAUCACGUGGUACGCACCUGUGCCUGGGCUCCCGGCCCAGCCACCGCAGGGGGACUCUGCGGGAUAGCUGGGUCCGUAGACAUGCUGUCUCCCCAGGCCUGCAACCUGUCACAGGGGAUCGAUGCAGACUUCAAACCGGUGUGCGUGCUAGAGAGAGCACAAAGCCUCGCUCCUGUCCAGCCUUCCAGUCCUGGACAACGAGCCCGCGGAAGCGACAGUUUUCAUUGGCUGAGCCCGUCUGCGCUGUCUCUUCUGGGUAAUGUAGUUCAGAGAAGAUGCACCCUGGAAACAAGGACUCAGCCAAAGAAGCGGGAGCUAUAGAAGCGGCGUGCAAGGAGUUAAAGGGACUCCUGCAAUGGUCACAGAUGCGCCAGGGGUUUCCGUUUCGCUGAUCAUCAAGCCCACAGUAAGGGGGAUUCCUGGGUCUGCAUCCGGUGUGCAUUCCCAAACUUCCCUUCUCAAGGGGAUGCUCAGCUUAGAAGCCAA